rnacentral:misc_RNA from 1 species
GAUGAAGAAAGCAGCGAAAUGCGAUAAGUAAUGUGAAUUGCAGAAUUCAGUGAAUCAUCGAGUCUUUGAACGCACAUUGCGCCCCCUGGUAUUCCGGGGGGCAUGCCUGUCCGAGCGUCAUUGCUGCCCUCAAGCACGGCUUGUGUGUUGGGCCCCCGUCCCCGGUUUCCCCCGGGGACGGGCCCGAAAGGCAGCGGCGGCACCGCGUCCGGUCCUCGAGCGUAUGGGGCUUUGUCACCCGCUCUGUAGGCCCGGCCGGCGCCAGCCGACACCCAACUUUAUUUCUAAGGUUGACCUCGGAUCAGGUAGGGAUACCCGCUGAACUUAAGCAUAUCAAUAAGCGGAGGA